rfam:Triticum aestivum genome assembly, contig: Triticum_aestivum_CS42_TGACv1_scaffold_062417_1DL
UUACUACUCCCUCCGUCCGAAAAUACUUGUCGGAGAAAUGGAUAAAAAUAGAUGUAUCCAAAACUAAAAUAUGUCUAGAUACAUCCAUUCCUGCGACAAGUAUUUCCGGACGGAGGGAGUAGAAU